rnacentral:rRNA from 1 species
UACAGAGGGGGCGAGCGUUGUUCGGAAUUACUGGGCGUAAAGGGCUCGUAGGUGGCCAACUAAGUCAGACGUGAAAUCCCUCGGCUUAACCGGGGAACUGCGUCUGAUACUGGAUGGCUUGAGUUCGGGAGAGGGAUGCGGAAUUCCAGGUGUAGCGGUGAAAUGCGUAGAUAUCGGGAGGAACACCAGCGGCGAAGGCGGGUACCUGGGCCAACACUGACGCUGAGGCGCGAAAGCUAGGGGAGCAAACAGG